ACCAAAUAAAACCACCAAAAAAAAUUUCAUUUCCCUGUAUCUUCUUCUUAUUUUUCCUCUCUGUCUCACACAAAAACCAUACUCUCUCUCCCUUCACUUUCAGACCCAUACUCGGAGACCACCAAACCCCAAACACAGAAACCCCAAUGGAGAGACCCAUACUCAUAAACCCCCAAACCCCAAACGCAAAAACCCCAAUGGAGAGACUCAAACCCAAACCUUAGUUAUAUAGGGAGUUGUUCUCUCUCCCUACGCCUUUCCUCUCCUCUGCAAUAUCCCUCUCCCUAUGCCGAGCCAGCCUCCUCUGCGAUCUCUCUCCCUACGCCUCUCUUCUCCUCUACAAUCCAACUCAAACCAGGUGAACCAGAAGCGAACCACUAGCUGAUCUCCUAAAGCCGAGCUGAGCCCAGAUGCCUCUUCUCUCCCUAAAGUCGAGCCCAGAUGCCUCGUCUCCCCUAAAGUCGAGCCGAGAUGAUCUCCUAUCUUGAGCCCAAAUCGGCGUUCAACUUAACUCCAUUCUUGAACCCAAACCCAACGCCGAGCCCGUUCACAUCUGUUGCAGGUUCAUUGGCUGGUUCCCUCUUGUGAUUUGUCAAUGGUUGCAUUUAUAUUGUUGAUGCAUAUAAAGUUUACUGGAGUAGCUGUGUUAAAGGGAUUCACGCUGGACAAAUGGUUAUGCGGCUAGUUGAAGCAAUUGAUGUUUAUCUUGCUGGGACUGUCGUGUUGAUCUUUGGCAUGGGCUUAUACGGAUUGUUUAUCAGUAAUGUGCCUCCUGAUGUAGGUUCUGGGAUUAUAACAAUCUUGCCAAUAUGUCAGAAGUCAUGAGAAAAAAACAUGUGAAAGGCAAUCUUAAUGCCAAAGUUGGAAAGAUAGAUGGUCGUGUUGAUGUUAAUGCCCCAAAACGUAUCACUACUCUGGGGGAGGCAUAAUCCUGGUUUGCAGAACGUGCAUAUAUGAGAAGCUCUCGGAUGAGGAGGUCAAUUACUGUUCUAUAUGCAAAAUUGAUUUUGGGCUAUCUUCCAGUGGAGAAACUCAGGAUACUGGCUAAUCAGCAGUCUGUGCUUGCUCAAAGGAGAGGAAAGCUCGCAAUAUAUAGGAAGUUGAGCGAAAAGUUCAGACUCUUCAAACUGAAGCUACAACUCUAUCUGUCCAACUCACACUCUUCCAGGCUAAAAUUCUACUUGGAUAUUUAAGAGAACCAAGACAAUUAUAUAAGAGAACCAAGACAACAAGAAAUUCUUCUUCAAGUUGUUGGGUAUUAUUUUAUUUCUUUCUUGUAAGAAUUAUGUACAUUGAGGAUUUGAUGUGUUAUUUACAUUGAGAAUAAUGAAUUUUUAUUGAGAAUUAUUUAGUCUCAUGGGGAUUUGAUGUAUUAUUUACAUUUCAAUUGUAUGAGUAAAUGUUGUAUGUA